rnacentral:rRNA from 1 species
UACAGAGGGGGCAAGCGUUGUUCGGAAUUACUGGGCGUAAAGGGCGCGUAGGCGGCCUUCUAAGUCGAACGUGAAAUCCCCGGGCUCAACCCGGGAACUGCGUCCGAUACUGGAAGGCUUGAAUCCGGGAGAGGGAUGCGGAAUUCCAGGUGUAGCGGUGAAAUGCGUAGAUAUCUGGAGGAACACCGGUGGCGAAGGCGGCAUCCUGGACCGGCAUUGACGCUGAGGCGCGAAAGCUAGGGGAGCAAACGGG